rnacentral:rRNA from 1 species
GCAGUCGCGCGGGCAUCUUCGGAUGUCAGCGGCGGACGGGUGAGUAACACGUGGGUAAUCUGCCCAACUGACUGGAAUAACGCCUGGAAACGGGUGCUAAUGCCGGAUAGGCAACGAGGAGGCAUCUCCUUGUUGGGAAAGGUGCAACUGCACCGCAGAUGGAGGAGCCCGCGGCGCAUUAGCUAGUUGGUGGGGUAACGGCCUACCAAGGCGACGAUGCGUAGCCGACCUGAGAGGGUGGACGGCCACACUGGGACUGAGACACGGCCCAGACUCCUACGGGAGGCAGCAGUAGGGAAUCUUCCGCAAUGGGCGCAAGCCUGACGGAGCAACGCCGCGUGAGCGAAGAAGGCCUUCGGGUUGUAAAGCUCAGUCACUCGGGAAGAGCGGACGAAGGAGUGGAAAGCCUUCGUCGAGACGGUACCGAGAGAGGAAGCCCCGGCUAACUACGUGCCAGCAGCCGCGGUAAUACGUAGGGGGCAAGCGUUGUCCGGAAUCACUGGGCGUAAAGCGUGCGUAGGCGGUUUGUUAAGUUCGGGGUGAAAGUCCAAGGCUCAACCUUGGGAAUGCCUUGAAAACUGGCAGACUUGAGUACU